AAUGAACGCUGGCGGCGUGCUUUGCACAUGCAAGUCGAGCGAGGCGUUCCGCAAGGGACAGUCGAGCGGCGAACGGGUGAGUAACGCGUGGAUGACCUGCCCUGAGGUGGGGAAUAACCCGGGGAAACUCGGGCUAAUACCGCAUAUGACCGCGAGGUCAAAGAGGGGUCGCAAGAUCUCUUGCCACAGGAGGGGUCCGCGUUCGAUUAGCUAGUUGGUAGGGUAANGGCCUACCAAGGCGACGAUCGAUAGCCGGCCUGAGAGGGUGAUCGGCCACACUGGAACUGAGACACGGUCCAGACUCCUACGGGAGGCAGCAGUGGGAAUUUUGCGCAAUGGGCUAACGCCUGACGCAGCAACGCCGCGUGGAGGAUGAAGGUCCUUGGAUU
rnacentral:rRNA from 1 species